GAAAUGCGAUAAGUAAUGUGAAUUGCAGAAUUCAGUGAAUCAUCGAAUCUUUGAACGCACAUUGCGCCCGCUAGUAUUCUGGCGGGCAUGCCUGUUCGAGCGUCAUUUCAACCAUCAAGCCCCAGGCUUGUGUUGGAGCCCUGCGGCCGUCCGCAGCCUCCUAAAAGCAGUGGCGGGCUCGCUAUCACACCGAGUGCAGUAGUUUACUCUUCGCUCAGGGCGUGUGGCGGGUUCCAGCCGUGAAACCCCCCCAUUUCUAAAGGUUGACCUCGGAUCAGGUAGGAAUACCCGCUGAACUUAA
rnacentral:misc_RNA from 1 species